rnacentral:ncRNA from 1 species
AAAAAGUUUUAUUCUUGCUUUAUUGUAUGCUGAUAGAAUAAUUUAUAUAUAAUAGAAUUACUUGAUGUGUAAUUAAUUGUAGUAAGUAUUAUUGUACAAUCAAUUGUAUUUGGAUACGGUAAUUUUGUUAAUAUUGGUUAAAUGCGUGCCAGCUGCCGCGGUUAGACGUGAAAUGUAAGUAUAUAUUUUUGGUAAAAGGUUAAUAGAUAAAUUGAAUUGGGGGAGGAUGAAUAUUGAAAUGGUGAAAUAUUUUUUUGUUGGGAUUAAUUGAUUGAUAUAUUAUGAAGCUUUGAAAUUUAAAUGUGAAACUAGGAUUAGAUACCCUAUUAUUUUUAAUGUAAGGAUUAAGGCUGGGGUAGUAAUAGUUGGUCUUGAAACUCAAAGAAUUUGGCGGUGUUUUAGUCUUUUCAGGGGAAUCUGUCUCGUAAUUGAUGAUACACGAAUGGAUAUACUUGAUCUUGUUGUAGUAUGUAUACCGCCGUCGUAAGAUUAUUUUUUGAGAAUAAUUUUCUUAAUUUUGUAUUAAAUUAUAUGUCAGGUCAAGGUGCAGCUUAUGAUUAAGUGAUGAUGGAUUACAAUAAUAUUAAUUAUGAUGGAUAAUUAUUUUGAGUUAAUUUGAAGGUGGACUUGAUUGUAAAUUUAUUUUAAUUUUUUGAUUGAUUUGAGCUCUAAAAUGUGUACAUAUCGCCCGUCGCUCUCGUUAUUAAGAUGAGAUAAGUCGUAACAUAGUAGAUGUACCGGAAGGUGUAUCUAGAAGUG